GGCAUAUCUGCGCAGAUGCUCCUCACUCACUACCCGAGGCGGGGGCGGCGUCUCCUCUUCCUCUUCUUCCUCGUCCUCCUCUUCUUCCUCGUCCUCUUCAUCUUCCUCGUCGUCGUCUGGCCCCGAUACCGACGAUGACGGCGACGACGACGACGACGUUGCCGCUUCUUCUUCCUCCUCCUCCAGUUCCGAGAUGGUGUCGAACUCCGCCAUGUUGGGCAGCAGGAUGCUCAUCACGUGAUCUCGAUCGCCGCCACCCUCACGAAGAGUUUGAACCUGCCAAAGUGCUGGAAGAGGAGGGGGAACGAAAUGAAGAGAAAGAACGAGGGGGGAGAGGGGCAUGGAGGAGGUGGAGGAAGCAUUCCAACCUAAGGAAACAUUAAUGAACAUCAUCCAUCUUCCAGAGAGCUAGACUCUUUCAUGUACAGUAUCUCAGUUAACCCUUAAACAAUCCUAUGAGAGCCACCAGUAGCUUUAUAAUUGUGUUUCUGAAUUGGCUUUCUGACAUUGAAUUGUAAU